rnacentral:rRNA from 1 species
GCAGGCCUACGGGGCGCAGCAGAGAGGAAUAUUGGUCAAUGGGCGGUAGCCUGAACCAGCCAAGUAGCGUGAAGGAUGAAGGUUCUAUGGAUUGUAAACUUCUUUUAUAAAGGAAUAAAGUGAGGCACGUGUGCCUUUUUGUAUGUACUUUAUGAAUAAGGAUCGGCUAACUCCGUGCCAGCAGCCGCGGUAAUACGUAGGAUGCGAGCGUUAUCCGGAUUUAUUGGGUUUAAAGGGAGCGUAGAUGG